CGACUCCCGAUUUAUGAAACGGAACGCGCCCCUUGACAUAAAACGAAAAUAGUAUUUUAUUACAAUUACAACAAAUACGCAGGUCUUUUGUUUUGUGUUUAAAAUGAGUAUGAGCGUGCGCGAAGAAGAAAGGGGGAAGACUACAUGCCCAAGCCGCGGUCUCGGUAUUGCGGCCGCCGCUAUCGGCGUCGGGGUUGGGGCAGCGUUAUACUACUUCUUCAGCAAACGGCCAGAAAAUCCGAAUUCACAAGGUUCCACCAGCGAUUGGAAUUGUGAGCAACAACAAGCCUUUCGCCAGCGCUCCUGGACCCUGGAAGAAUGUUCCAUCUGUUUCGAAGUGAUGCUCCGAGACCAGGAAGUCAUGUCACUACCCUGCUCUCACAACUUCCACUCCGAGUGCAUCCUGCCGUGGCUGCAAGAGAAGCAGACCUGUCCUAACUGCCGGAAAGUGGCUGAAUGAUUGGUCCAUAUCAAAAUAUUGUUGGUUUGGACUUAAAACCAACAAUCCAGGAUUGUCCAAUUAUAACCAUCUUUAAUUUACGAACAACAAUGGAUGUAAACAAUAAUAAUUCACUAAUAGGAUAAUAAUAAUGCCUUUUUUAUAUAGCAACUAGUAAAACAAAAAAAAAAUAAUAAUUAAAAAAUUGGUAGGAUGUUUAGCUGGCUAAAUUACAAAAAUAUUAAAAUUAUAAAGAUAUAUGUAUAAGAAAUAUUAAAAAGUGGGUUUUUUCAAAAUAUAGCUAGUUUGCAAUUUUUAGAUCACAAAAAUAUUUUUGGCGGGUAAGAUGACAUUUCAAAUUGUUUCUUGCAUGUAGGUAAAUUUUUUAUUUUAGUGUUUCUUUGUAUAUGUGGCUAAUAGUACUUUUUCGCUCAAUUUUUUCGACAAGUGUGUUUUAUUUUGAUUUGCUUAUUAUAUUAAUUUAGGUUGUUUCUGAAUAUUAUCAAAACUGUCAUAUCACAUGUGUAUAGUGGUAUUUUCUGGUCGUGUUUUGGUGCAGAUGUCAAUUCUAUCAGUUAGUACAAAAAUGCUAUUUUCCCUUGAAAAUUGACAGC
rnacentral:misc_RNA from 1 species